rnacentral:rRNA from 1 species
GAUGAACGCUGGCGGCGUGCCUAAUACAUGCAAGUCGAGCGAAUGGAUUAAGAGCUUGCUCUUAUGAAGUUAGCGGCGGACGGGUGAGUAACACGUGGGUAACCUGCCCAUAAGACUGGGAUAACUCCGGGAAACCGGGGCUAAUACCGGAUAACAUUUUGAACCGCAUGGUUCGAAAUUGAAAGGCGGCUUCGGCUGUCACCUAUGGAUGGACCCGCGUCGCAUUAGUUAGUUGGUGAGGUAACGGCUCACCAAGGCAACGAUGCGUAGCAGACCUGAGAGGGUGAUCGGCCACACUGGGACUGAGACACGGCCCAGACUCCUACGGGAGGCAGCAGUAGGGAAUCUUCCGCAAUGGACGAAAGUCUGACGGAGCAACGCCGCGUGAGUGAUGAAGGCUUUCGGGUCGUAAAACUCUGUUGUUAGGGAAGAACAAGUGUUAGUUGAAUAAGCUGGCACCUUGACGGUACCUAACCAGAAAGCCACGGCUAACUACGUGCCAGCCGCCGCCGUAA